UAAUACCGAAUAAAACUUAGUGUCGCAUGACACAAAGUUAAAAGGCGCUUCGGCGUCACCUAGAGAUGGAUCCGCGGUGCAUUAGUUAGUUGGUGGGGUAAAGGCCUACCAAGACAAUGAUGCAUAGCCGAGUUGAGAGACUGAUCGGCCACAUUGGGACUGAGACACGGCCCAAACUCCUACGGGAGGCUGCAGUAGGGAAUCUUCCACAAUGGGCGAAAGCCUGAUGGAGCAACGCCGCGUGUGUGAUGAAGGCUUUCGGGUCGUAAAGCACUGUUGUAUGGGAAGAACAGCUAGAAUAGGAAAUGAUUUUAGUUUGACGGUACCAUACCAGAAAGGGACGGCUAAAUACGUGCCAGCAGCCGCGGUAAUACGUAUGUCCCGAGCGUUAUCCGGAUUUAUUGGGCGUAAAGCGAGCGCAGACGGUUUAUUAAGUCUGAUGUGAAAGCCCGGAGCUCAACUCCGGAAUGGCAUUGGAAACUGGUUAACUUGAGUGCAGUAGAGGUAAGUGGAACUCCAUGUGUAGCGGUGGAAUGCGUAGAUAUAUGGAAGAACACCAGUGGCGAAAGCGGCUUACUGGACUGCAACUGACGUUGAGGCUCGAAAGUGUGGGUAGCAAACAGGAUUAGAUACCCUGGUAGUCCACACCGU
rnacentral:rRNA from 1 species